ensembl:snRNA U6 U6 spliceosomal RNA
AUGCUAACUUCAGCAACACAUACAGUAAAACUGGAACAAUACAGAGAAGAUUAACAUGGACCCAGCACAAAGAUGACAAACAAAUUCAUGAUGUAUCUUUCCCUAAUUUUU